rnacentral:rRNA from 1 species
GAUGAACGCUGGCGGCGUGCCUAAUACAUGCAAGUCGAGCGAACGGACGAGAAGCUUGCUUCUCUGAUGUUAGCGGCGGACGGGUGAGUAACACGUGGAUAACCUACCUAUAAGACUGGGAUAACUUCGGGAAACCGGAGCUAAUACCGGAUAAUAUUUUGAACCGCAUGGUUCAAAAGUGAAAGACGGUCUUGCUGUCACUUAUAGAUGGAUCCGCGCUGCAUUAGCUAGUUGGUAAGGUAACGGCUUACCAAGGCAACGAUGCAUAGCCGACCUGAGAGGGUGAUCGGCCACACUGGAACUGAGACACGGUCCAGACUCCUACGGGAGGCAGCAGUAGGGAAUCUUCCGCAAUGGGCGAAAGCCUGACGGAGCAACGCCGCGUGAGUGAUGAAGGUCUUCGGAUCGUAAAACUCUGUUAUUAGGGAAGAACAUAUGUGUAAGUAACUGUGCACAUCUUGACGGUACCUAAUCAGAAAGCCACGGCUAACUACGUGCCAGCAGCCGCGGUAAUACGUAGGUGGCAAGCGUUAUCCGGAAUUAUUGGGCGUAAAGCGCGUGUAGGCGGUUUUUUAAGUCUGAUGUGAAAGCCCACGGCUCAACCGUGGAGGGUCAUUGGAAACUGGAAAACUUGAGUGCAGAAGAGGAAAGUGGAAUUCCAUGUGUAGCGGUGAAAUGCGCAGAGAUAUGGAGGAACACCAGUGGCGAAGGCAACUUUCUGGUCUGUAACUGACGCUGAUGUGCGAAAGCGUGGGGAUCAAACAGGAUUAGAUACCCUGGUAGUCCACGCCGUAAACGAUGAGUGCUAAGUGUUAGGGGGUUUCCGCCCCUUAGUGCUGCAGCUAACGCAUUAAGCACUCCGCCUGGGGAGUACGACCGCAAGGUUGAAACUCAAAGGAAUUGACGGGGACCCGCACAAGCGGUGGAGCAUGUGGUUUAAUUCGAAGCAACGCGAAGAACCUUACCAAAUCUUGACAUCCUUUGACAACUCUAGAGAUAGAGCCUUCCCCUUCGGGGGACAAAGUGACAGGUGGUGCAUGGUUGUCGUCAGCUCGUGUCGUGAGAUGUUGGGUUAAGUCCCGCAACGAGCGCAACCCUUAAGCUUAGUUGCCAUCAUUAAGUUGGGCACUCUAAGUUGACUGCCGGUGACAAACCGGAGGAAGGUGGGGAUGACGUCAAAUCAUCAUGCCCCUUAUGAUUUGGGCUACACACGUGCUACAAUGGACAAUACAAAGGGCAGCGAAACCGCGAGGUCAAGCAAAUCCCAUAAAGUUGUUCUCAGUUCGGAUUGUAGUCUGCAACUCGACUACACGAAGCUGGAAUCGCUAGUAAUCGUAGAUCAGCAUGCUACGGUGAAUACGUUCCCGGGUCU